rnacentral:rRNA from 1 species
GUGCAGCAAGCGAGAAUUUUCCCAAUGGGGGCAACCCUGAAGGAGCGACGCCGCGUGGAGGAUGAAGGCUUUCGGGUUGUAAACUCCUGUCAUUUGAGAACAAGUGUGAGCAAGUAACUACUGCUCAUCUGAUAGUAUCAGAAGAGGAAGGGACGGCUAACUCUGUGCCAGCAGCCGCGGUAAUACAGAGGUCCCAAGCGUUGUUCGGAUUCAUUGGGCGUAAAGGGUGCGUAGGUGGCGCCGUAAGUGGGGUGUGAAAUUUCGGAGCUUAACUCCGAAACUGCAUUCCAUACUGCGGUGCUUGAGGACUGGAGAGGAGACUGGAAUUCAUGGUGUAGCAGUGAGAUGCGUAGAGAUCAUGAGGAAGACCAGUGCGAAGGCGGUCUCUGGACAGUUCCUGACACUGAGGCACGAAGGCUAGGGGAGCAAACGGGAUUAGAUACCCGCGUAGU